rnacentral:rRNA from 1 species
AUUGAACGCUGGCGGCAUGCCUUACACAUGCAAGUCGAACGGCAGCACGGGAGCAAUCCUGGUGGCGAGUGGCGAACGGGUGAGUAAUAUAUCGGAACGUGCCCAGUCUGGGGAUAACGUAGCGAAAGCUACGCUAAUACCGCAUACGAUCUAUGGAUGAAAGCGGGGGAUCGCAAGACCUCGCGCGAUUGGAGCGGCCGAUAUCAGAUUAGGUAGUUGGUGAGGUAAAGGCUCGCCAAGCCGACGAUCUGUAGCUGGUCUGAGAGGACGACCAGCCACACUGGGACUGAGACA